rnacentral:rRNA from 1 species
UACGUAGGGGGCGAGCGUUGUCCGGAUUUAUUGGGCGUAAAGAGCGUGUAGGCGGCCAGGUAGGUCCGUUGUGAAAACUCGAGGCUCAACCUCGAGACGUCGAUGGAAACCAUCUGGCUAGAGUCCGGAAGAGGAGAGUGGAAUUCCUGGUGUAGCGGUGAAAUGCGCAGAUAUCAGGAAGAACACCGGUGGCGAAGGCGGCGCUCUGGACCGAGACUGACGCUGAGGCGCGAAAGCGUGGGGAGCAAACAGG